rnacentral:rRNA from 1 species
CGCCAUAAUCUCCCCGGAAUGCGUGGCUAUUCGCAUCGCCCUACGGGUAGCAGGGAAUGCCAAGGCCUGGCCCUAUAAGAGCGUCCGAUAUCCGAAUAGCUAGUGUGGGUACGACCACCAAGGCGACGAUCGUAGCUGUUCGAGAGGACGACAGCCACACUGGACUGAGGACACGUCCAGACUCUACGGAGGCAGCAGUGAGGAUUUUGACAAUGAGGGAAACCCUGAUCAGCAUCCGCGUGUGCGAUGAAGGCUUCGGGUGUAAAGCACUUUGGCAGAAAGAAACGUCAUGGGUUAAUACCUGUGAAACUGACGGUACUGCAGAUAAGCACCGGCUAACUACGUGCAGCAGCGCGGUAUACGUAGGGUGCAAGCGUUAAUCGGAAUUACUGUGCGUAAAGCGUGCGCAGGCGGUUCGGAAAGAAAGAUGUGAAAUCCCAGAGCUUAACUUUGGAACUGCAUUUUUAACUACCGAGCUAGAGUGUGUCAGAGGGAGGUGGAAUUCCGCGUGUAGCAGUGAAAUGCGUAGAUAUGCGGAGGAACACCGAUGGCGAAGGCAGCCUCCUGGGAUAACACUGACGCUCAUGCACGAAAGCGUGGGGAGCAAACAGGAUUAGAUACCCUGGUAGUCCACGCCCUAAACGAUGUCAACUAGCUGUUGGGGCCUUCGGGCCUUAGUAGCGCAGCUAACGCGUGAAGUUGACCGCCUGGGGAGUACGGUCGCAAGAUUAAAACUAAAGGAGAGUGACGGGGACCCGCACAAGUGGUGGAUGAUGUGGAUUAAUUCGAUGCAACGCGAAAAACCUUACCUACCCUUGACAUGUCUGGAAGGCCGAAGAGAUUUGGCAGUGCUCGCAAGAGAACUGGAACACAGGUGCUGCAUAGCUGUCGUCAGCUCGUGUCGUGAGAUUUUGGGUUAAGUCCCGCAACGAGCGCAACCCUUGUCAUUAGUUGCUACGAAAGGGCACUCUAAUGAGCCUGCCGGUGACAAUCCGGAGGAAGGUGGGGAUGACGUCAAGUCCUCAUGGCCCUUAUGGGUAGGGCUUCACACGUCAUACAAUGGUCGGGACAGAGGGUCGCCAACCCGCGAGGGGGAGCCAAUCCCAGAAACCCGAUCGUAGUCCGGAUCGCAGUCUGCAACUCGACUGCGUGAAGUCGGAAUCGCUAGUAAUCGCGGAACAAGCCUUAUACGGGAAUCGCCC